GGAGAGCAGGUACCGAUGCCUCCCGUUCGGGACACACCAUCUCGUCCCCAAAACACUUCAGCUUCGCUACCUUAGUGGCCUGAAAGGGAUUCCCCUAGUAGAGCUCUGCUGUGUUUUGCACAGGAAUCGCUCUGAAGACCGGUUUCGGUGCCUGGUUUAAAAAGAAGCAUCUCCAGCAAUUGCCUAAAGCAACCUGUGCCUGUUCUCCAGCGAGGAGUCCUGCCGGGGAACGGGGAGAGGGAAGUUGAGAGAAAAUGAGUUAUCGUUCAGAAAGAGAUGUUGCAGCACAGGACUCCGAGCUGUGAUUUUGAUAUUAAGCUCUAGGCUUGUUUUUUAAAGGACAGUUGAAUUUCACGUCAGACACAAGGAGUCCAUGGCUGCGAUUUUCCUGACGAAUACAUAUCUAUUCUGCAAGCUCGGCAUUAAUUAUUUAAUGAAUCACGU